GGAUAGCUCAGUUGAUAGAGCAUAAGACUCUUAAUCUCAGGGUUGUGGGUUCAAGCCUCAUGUUGGGCA
rnacentral:tRNA from 1 species